CUUAUUCCUUGUAAGGAGCCUUCUAAUUUCUGUGAGUGUGCUGGACUACAGCGAAAUAAAUCGAAGGAGCCAAAAAAAAAGGUAUUGAGGCUAUGUUUGCUACAACAGUGAAUAAAGGAAAAUGGAUUCUUUCUAAUCCCCAUUUUGGCGGACGAUGGUGGCAGUCAGUACAAUGAGGGUGUCGUGAAUGUUUUCUGGGUGUUUCGCCCCAGCUCAAGGAAAAAAAGAAUGGAAGGAAAAGCCAAGGUCUUCA